rnacentral:rRNA from 1 species
UACGGAGGGUGCAAGCGUUAUCCGGAUUCACUGGGUUAAAGGGUGCGUAGGCGGGCAGGUAAGUCAGUGGUGAAAUCUCCGAGCUUAACUCGGAACUGCCGUUGAUACUAUUUGUCUUGAAUAUUGUGGAGGUAAGCGGAAUAUGUCAUGUAGCGGUGAAAUGCAUAGAUAUUACUUAGAACACCAAUUGCGAAGGCAGUUACCAAUCUUAACUGACGC